rnacentral:snRNA from 1 species
CUCGUCCCUUCGGGGACAUCCGAUAAAAUUGGAACGAUACAGAGAAGAUCAGCAUGGCCCCUGCGCAAGGAUGACACGCACAAAUCGAGAAAUGGUCCAAAUUUUUUUGAGAUUUCGCGCGCAGGUCCCUGGAGGGCUUCUGCCCUGGCCCUCAGUUGCACUGCACUUAUUACAAAAAAGUCCCUGAAAUUUUCAUUCUCUGUCAGAAGUGUUCUCACGACUGCCACUGUGUAA